rnacentral:rRNA from 1 species
AUUGAACGCUGGCGGAAUGCUUUACACAUGCAAGUCGAACGGCAGCACGGGGGCAACCCUGGUGGCGAGUGGCGAACGGGUGAGUAAUACAUCGGAACGUGCCCAGUCGUGGGGGAUAACGUAGCGAAAGCUACGCUAAUACCGCAUACGAACUCUGGUUGAAAGCGGGGGAUCGCAAGACCUCGCGCGAUUGGAGCGGCCGAUGGCAGAUUAGGUAGUUGGUGGGGUAAAGGCUCACCAAGCCGACGAUCUGUAGCUGGUCUGAGAGGACGACCAGCCACACUGGGACUGAGACACGGCCCAGACUCCUACGGGAGGCAGCAGUGGGGAAUUUUGGACAAUGGGCGCAAGCCUGAUCCAGCCAUUCCGCGUGCAGGAUGAAGGCCCUCGGGUUGUAAACUGCUUUUGUACGGAACGAAACGGCUCUCUCUAAUACAGGGGGCUAAUGACGGUACCGUAAGAAUAAGCACCGGCUAACUACGUGCCAGCAGCCGCCGUAAUAC